CAUGAUUAUAAAGAUGUUUUUAUUCCCAGCGGUGUAGAAUCUCUUCCUUACGGUACAUAAUACAUUUGCCUGGUCUCAAUGGUAUGCUCAGUUGGAAAUGGGAGAAUGGCAGUGAUGACAAGGCUUCUGGCUGCAGGGAGUUUCUCCCGAACUAUUGCUGAGGAAGUUGGUCAUCAGAAAUUAGCUUCUGAAUUUAUCUGUAGAGAACUUCGUGAUGCAGAUGAAGCAAAUUUAAUUGAUGAAGAAGAUAUGCACGUCUUUGGUUUGAAGCCUAUGGUUGAUCCUCUGAACUUGGUAAGGUU